AGAGUUUGAUCCUGGCUCAGGAUGAACGCUGGCGGCGUGCUUAACACAUGCAAGUCGAACGGGAAGCGGUGUAUUUUUACUUUGGUAAUUUUGCGCCGUGGAGAGUGGCGAACGGGUGCGUAACACGUAGGUAACCUGCCCUGAAAUGGGGGAUAACCAUGGGAAACUGUGGCUAAUACCGCAUAAUCUCGCCGGGACGGGAGUACCGGUGAGGAAAGCUGAGGCGAUUUGGGAGGGGCCUGCGGUCGAUUAGCUGGUUGGUGGGGUAAAGGCCCACCAAGGCGAUGAUCGAUAGCUGUUCUGAGAGGAAGACCAGCCACACGGGAACUGAGACACGGUUCCGACUCCUACGGGGGGCAGCAGUGAGGAAUAUUGCGCAAUGGGGGAAACCCUGACGCAGCAACGCCGCGUGGAGGACGAAGGUUUUCGGAUUGUAAACUCCUUAUCUGGGGGAAGAGAGAGGACGGUACCCCAGGACGAAGACACGGCUAACUAGGUGCCAGCAGCCGCGGUAAUACCUAGGUGUCGAGCGUUAUCCGGAAUUACUGGGCGUAAAGGGUGCGCAGGCGGCGAUACAAGUCUGGCGUGAAAGCUUCUGGCUUAACUGGGAGAGGACGUUAGAAACUGUAUGGCUAGAGUGAAUGAGAGGGGGGCGGAAAUCCCGGUGUAGUGGUGGAAUGCGUGGAUAUCGGGAAGAACACCAGAGGCGAAGGCGGCCUCCUGGCAUUUUACUGACGCUGAGGCACGAAAGCGUGGGUAGCGAACGGGAUUAGAUACCCCGGUAGUCCACGCUGUAAACGAUGUGAACGAGGUGUGGGCGGUGUAGAAGCCGUCUGUGCCGGAGCAAACGCGAUAAGUUCACCGCCUGGGGAGUACGGUCGCAAGGCUAAAACUCAAAGGAAUUGACGGGGGCCCGCACAAGCAGCGGAGCGUGUGGUUUAAUUCGAUGCAACGCGAAGAACCUUACCUGGGCUUGACAUGUACGUAGUAGUGAAGGGAAACCGGAACGAGCCUUCGGGCAGCGUAGACAGGUGCUGCAUGGCUGUCGUCAGCUCGUG
rnacentral:rRNA from 1 species